GGCUGGAUAGUUCAGUGGCAGAAUUCUUGCUUUGGGUCAUCACAAAAUGUAAGAGGUCCUGGGUUCAAAUCCCAGUUCAGCCC